rnacentral:rRNA from 1 species
AGCCACACUGGGACUGAGACACGGCCCAGACUCCUACGGGAGGCAGCAGUGGGGAAUAUUGCACAAUGGGGGCAACCCUGAUGCAGCCAUGCCGCGUGUGUGAAGAAGGCCUUCGGGUUGUAAAGCACUUUCAGUCAGGAGGAAAGGUAAGUGGUUAAUACCUCCUAGCUGUGACGUUAACCACAGAAGAAGCACCGGCUAACUCCGUGCCAGCAGCCGCGGUAAUACGGAGGGUGCGAGCGUUAAUCGGAAUUACUGGGCGUAAAGCGUACGCAGGCGGUUUGUUAAGCGAGAUGUGAAAGCCCCGGGCUCAACUUGGGAACUGCAUUUGGAACUGGCAAACUAGAGUGUGAUAGAGGGGGGUAGAAUUUCCGGUGUAGCGGUGAAAUGCGUAGAGAUCGGAAGGAAUAC